UUAAAUUGAAGAGUUUGAUCAUGGCUCAGAUUGAACGCUGGCGGCAGGCCUAACACAUGCAAGUCGAACGGUAACAGGAAUCAGCUUGCUGAUUCGCUGACGAGUGGCGGACGGGUGAGUAAUGUCUGGGAAACUGCCUGAUGGAGGGGGAUAACUACUGGAAACGGUAGCUAAUACCGCAUAACGUCGCAAGACCAAAGAGGGGGACCUUCGGGCCUCUUGCCAUCGGAUGUGCCCAGAUGGGAUUAGCUAGUAGGUGGGGUAAAGGCUCACCUAGGCGACGAUCCCUAGCUGGUCUGAGAGGAUGACCAGCCACACUGGAACUGAGACACGGUCCAGACUCCUACGGGAGGCAGCAGUGGGGAAUAUUGCACAAUGGGCGCAAGCCUGAUGCAGCCAUGCCGCGUGUAUGAAGAAGGCCUUCGGGUUGUAAAGUACUUUCAGCGGGGAGGAAGGGAGUAAAGUUAAUACCUUUGCUCAUUGACGUUACCCGCAGAAGAAGCACCGGCUAACUCCGUGCCAGCAGCCGCGGUAAUACGGAGGGUGCAAGCGUUAAUCGGAAUUACUGGGCGUAAAGCGCACGCAGGCGGUUUGUUAAGUCAGAUGUGAAAUCCCCGGGCUCAACCUGGGAACUGCAUCUGAUACUGGCAAGCUUGAGUCUCGUAGAGGGGGGUAGAAUUCCAGGUGUAGCGGUGAAAUGCGUAGAGAUCUGGAGGAAUACCGGUGGCGAAGGCGGCCCCCUGGACGAAGACUGACGCUCAGGUGCGAAAGCGUGGGGAGCAAACAGGAUUAGAUACCCUGGUAGUCCACGCCGUAAACGAUGUCGACUUGGAGGUUGUGCCCUUGAGGCGUGGCUUCCGGAGCUAACGCGUUAAGUCGACCGCCUGGGGAGUACGGCCGCAAGGUUAAAACUCAAAUGAAUUGACGGGGGCCCGCACAAGCGGUGGAGCAUGUGGUUUAAUUCGAUGCAACGCGAAGAACCUUACCUGGUCUUGACAUCCACGGAAGUUUUCAGAGAUGAGAAUGUGCCUUCGGGAACCGUGAGACAGGUGCUGCAUGGCUGUCGUCAGCUCGUGUUGUGAAAUGUUGGGUUAAGUCCCGCAACGAGCGCAACCCUUAUCCUUUGUUGCCAGCGGUCCGGCCGGGAACUCAAAGGAGACUGCCAGUGAUAAACUGGAGGAAGGUGGGGAUGACGUCAAGUCAUCAUGGCCCUUACGACCAGGGCUACACACGUGCUACAAUGGCGCAUACAAAGAGAAGCGACCUCGCGAGAGCAAGCGGACCUCAUAAAGUGCGUCGUAGUCCGGAUUGGAGUCUGCAACUCGACUCCAUGAAGUCGGAAUCGCUAGUAAUCGUGGAUCAGAAUGCCACGGUGAAUACGUUCCCGGGCCUUGUACACACCGCCCGUCACACCAUGGGAGUGGGUUGCAAAAGAAGUAGGUAGCUUAACCUUCGGGAGGGCGCUUACCACUUUGUGAUUCAUGACUGGGGUGAAGUCGUAACAAGGUAACCGUAGGGGAACCUGCGGUUGGAUCACCUCCUUA
rnacentral:rRNA from 1 species